rnacentral:rRNA from 1 species
UACGGGAGGCAGCAGUGGGGAAUAUUGCACAAUGGGCGCAAAGCCUGAUGCAGCCAUGCCGCGUGUAUGAAGAAGGCCUUCGGGUUGUAAAGUACUUUCAGUCGUGAAGGAAGGUGUUAAGGUUAAUAACCUUAGCAAUUAGACGUUAGCGACAGAAGAAGCACCGGCUAACUCCGUGCCAGCAGCCGCGGUAAUACGGAGGGUGCGAGCGUUAAUCGGAAUUACUGGGCGUUAAAGGGCACGCAGGCGGUUAAUUAAGUUGGAUGUGAAAUCCCCGGGCUUAACCUGGGAAUGGCAUUCAAGACUGGUUAGCUAGAGUCUUGUAGAGGGGGUUAGAAUUCCAUGUGUAGCGGUGAAAUGCGUAGAGAUGUGGAGGAAUACCGGUGGCGAAGGCGGCCCCUGGACAAAGACUGACGCUCA